rfam:Catellicoccus marimammalium M35/04/3 contig00007, whole genome shotgun sequence.
UAAUAAAGGUUAUAAGUGCCGAAGACAGUAGGUGUGAGCAAUCACUUAAUUUCCUACCCGAGGACAAUGAUUUAAAAUCAUAACGUCUCUCUAUGUCUGCGGUGACAUGGAGUUUUUUUAUUUCAUGU